rnacentral:rRNA from 1 species
UACGAAGGGGGCUAGCGUUGUUCGGAAUACUGGGCGUAAAGCGCGCGCAGGCGGUUCUUCAAGUCAGAGGUGAAAGCCCAGAGCUCAACUCUGGAAUGGCCUUUGAGACUAGAGAACUAGGGUACGGGAGAGGUGAGUGGAAUUCCGAGUGUAGAGGUGAAAUUCGUAGAUAUUCGGAAGAACACCAGUGGCGAAGGCGGCUCACUGGCCCGUUACCGACGCUCAGGCGCGACAGCGCUGGGAGGCAAACAGGG